AUGGAGAAGAGCAGGUAUGGCUCAUAUUCUCACCAUGGGUUAUUGCUAGCGCUGCUGUUUUUCUUGCUGUUUGAUUUGCCCAUGGCCCGUGUGCAACCUCUGCGGCUAAACAAAGCACAGGAAAGCACCAUGAGAAACCUUUCAAGCAUGGUCUCCGCCAUGGCUCCGUGGAGCCACUGGGACACAACCGACCCGAACCCGUGCCUGUGGAGUGGGGUCACUUGCUCUGUGCCGUCUAACUGCCCUGGUUCAUCUGCAGUUGUGCACCACCUCUCCAUGUCUCGCUUUGGCCUCUCCAACUCCACCGUAAUUGCCUGCUUAUGCUCCCUUGAUACCUUGGAAUCUCUGGAUCUCUCAAAAAACAGGUUCACCGAUCUGCCACGGCAGCUCUCCUCAUGCCCCCUGGGUGCUAGAUUGCGCACGCUCAAUUUGAGCUACUCUCAGUUGCCUGGACCGCUCGGCGACUUCACUGGUUUCCGCAAACUGGAGGUUCUUGAUUUCUCCUUCAGUUUGCUGGGUGGAAAUGUAGACGAACAGUUGAGUUCUUUGCCCAGAUUAAGAAGCUUGAACCUUAGUAACAAUACACUUGGUGGUAGCCUCCCAACAAUUAUGGUCCACUCUUUGAAGGAACUGGUGUUAUCUAGCAACAGCUUCAGUGGCUUGAUACCUAGUGAAAUCACCAUGAAUACCGAGAUGUUGGAUUUGAGUUACAAUAAGCUUAGUGGUGAGAUACCUUCUGAUCUGUUCUUGGCUGCUGGUUUGCAUACCGUUGAUCUCACCGGCAACAGGCUUGAAGGGCACAUCCCGCGAGGAUUCUCUCGCAGCCUCUAUCGCCUUUGUCUCGGAGGGAACUUGCUCAGUGGCAGCAUCCCAGGCUCGAUUGGUGAUGCCUCAAGCUUGUCUUAUCUUGAGCUGAACAAUAACUACUUGGUGGGAGGCAUACCCCGGCAUGUUGGCAGAUGCAGUAAGUUGGCUCUCUUGAAUCUGGCAAGCAACCAGUUGAAUGGUGCAGUGCCCACUGAGAUCGGCAAACUUGAUAGCCUGUCUGUUCUGAAACUCCAAAUAAACAAUUUUGAUGGACAUAUACCAAGCACACUUGUCAAUCUGGUGAACUUGAAUCUACUGAACCUUAGCCAAAACUCAUUUACUGGAGAGAUACCACAUGAAAUUUUCCAGCUACCACGGCUUUCAAACAUAAAUUUGCAAGGCAACAAGAUCACUGGCGUCAUUCCAACUUCAAUCAGUUCACCGCAAUCUCUUAUUGAGCUUCAUCUCGGGGAUAAUGAGCUCACUGGUGUCAUCCCCACAAUGCCGACCAGCUUGAGUGCACUUCUGAAUCUAAGUCACAACCAUCUCAGUGGGUCUAUUCCUUCAAAUAUUGGUGUUUUGAAGGACCUGGAGAUCCUUGAUCUUUCCUACAACGACUUGUCUGGCCCGAUACCAUCCUCGCUCGAAGGUUUGCAAAGCUUGACACAGUUAGUGCUUUCUUAUAAUCAGCUGUCAGGAUCCCUUCCAGCAUUUCGAUCAUCUGUGGCAGUCGAUUCCACAGGAAAUCCAGAUCUUCUUAACAGUACCGCCAACGCUUCAGACGUGAUGACAAGCACCGAAGAUCACAGCUCGGCUAUAUGGGUUGCGGCAGUUUCAUUUGUGGUUGGCUUCGUCAUCUCUUUCUAUGGGGAUGGGAUCAGAAACGGGUGGCUUACAGGUUGA
rnacentral:rRNA from 1 species